UACGUAGGGGUGCGAGCGUUUGUCCGGAAUUAUUGGGCGUAAAGGGCUCGUAGGCGGUCUGUUGCGUCGGGAGUGAAAACUCAGGGCUUAACCCUGAGCCUGCUUCCGAUACGGGCAGACUAGAGGUAUGCAGGGGAGAACGGAAUUCCUGGUGUAGCGGUGAAAUGCGCAGAUAUCAGGAGGAACACCGGUGGCGAAGGCGGUUCUCUGGGCAUUACCUGACGCUGAGGAGCGAAAGUGUGGGGAGCGAACAGG
rnacentral:rRNA from 1 species